CCCCCUCCAUCAGCCUCUGCCUUGCCCCCUAGCUAUUACUGUUGGUCAACACCUGUCUUGUACCAGCCCUCCAACAAGGUCGCUGUAGUGCAAAUAGGCUGACUGUUGCUGACUGACUGCUGGCUCCUGAUAGGCUCCUCUCGGAAAGGGAAGGCUCGGGUCCCAGGGUCAUUUUCGGAAAGGCGAGGAGACUGUGUUUGGUUUCGCUCCUGGGACCAGUCUGAGAAGAGGAAAGAGAAGCAAAUGAAGAAAAAGAGAGAAACAGUAGCUUUUAACACAGUGUAGACCGGGGGGUUGUUUUAACACAGUGUAGGCAGGGGGUUGUUUUAACACAGUGUAGGCAGGGGGCUGUUUUAACACAGUGUAGACAGGGGGUUGUUUUAAGACAGUGUAGACAGGGGGUUGUUUUAACACAGUGUAGACAGGGGGUUGUUUUAACACAGUGUAGGCAGGGGGUUGUUUUAACACAGUGUAGACAGGGGGGUUGUUUUAACACAGUGUAGACAGGGGGUUGUUUUAACACAGUGUAGACAGAGGGUUGUUUUAACACAGUGUAGACAGGGGGUUGUUCUAACACAGUGUAGACAGGGGGUUGUUUUAACACAGUGUACGCAGGGGGUUGUUUUAACACAGUGUAGACAGGGGGUUGUUUUAACACAGUGUAGACAGGGGGUUGUUUUAACACAGUGUAGACAGAGGGUUGUUUUAACACAGUGUAGACAGGGGGUUGUUUUAACACAGUGUAGACAGAGGGUUGUUUUAACACAGUGUAGGCAGGGGGUUGUUUUAACACAGUGUAGACAGGGGGUUGUUUUAACACAGUGUAGACAGAGGGUUGUUUUAACACAGUCUAGACAGGGGGCUGUUUUAACACAGUUGUGUGAGUUGUGGCUUAUGAACUUCUACUUCUGGUAGGUUCUUAUCUCGGGCUCCUGAUUGGCUCAUUGCGGUCUAAGGCACUGCAUCUCUGGUGCUACAGGCGUCACUACAGACCCUGGUUCGAUUCCAGGCUGUAUCCACCACCGGCCGUGAUUGGGAGUCCCAUAAGGCAUAACACAAUUGGCUGUCUGCGUUUUGCCGGGGAUAGGCUGUCAUUGUAAAUAUGAAUUUGUUCUUCACUGACUUGUCUAGUUAAAUAAAGCUUAAUAAAUAAAAUAAAGUACCAGGAGAGUGAGCACUGCCAUUGAUUAGAGCACACACACACACAGC
ensembl:lncRNA